AAUGCUGUGUGAUUAUCUGUGAUGAUUGUGCCAAACCCAACAGUCAAGAGGGAAGACUGACGGUAAAAAGACACAAGAUAAAUGCCAAUGGGAUUCAUUUGUGAGAAUGGGACCAAACGGAAUGGGCUGCUACACUUCUUUUAAGUGUGUUUGUGAAGGGAUUUUGGAGAUCAACACCUCAGUACCUGACUGCAUCUUCCAUGACAUCAUACUGAAUCCGGACAAUACUCCAAAGGAUUGCCUAAGUUGUUUUCAAGACUAUGCAACAGUUAACUCUGGGAAUCAAAGUCAUUGCAACACAGCUCAGUGGGGCAGUGAUAUCAAAUAGAAACGAUGAUCAUCAUAACAGUAACCUCCAGUGCUGUGGUUAAGACAACUUCUGCUGACAUGAAACAGGAUUACUGGAUUAAUUUUACAAGAGAUACAUCUGAACAUCCAAGGCUGGAGUCACAUGUCCUGAAGAAUUAUCUUUUCCAGUCCAAUGUGAGACUGACCCUGAUGGUUUGAAUAGAGUUGUGGUGUAUGGUGAUCGGACUUAUGAAAUCAUUUCUGGUCGAAUCAUACAACCAGAGGAGGUGUCUCUUCCUGUACAAGAGACUGAUCCUGCUGCUUCUUAUAGAUCAGUGGUGUUUGGUGAUCUAACGUAUGACUUCACUUCUAGGACACGCAACCCGGAUCAGAACAUUGUGUUCAGGCCCCAUAGACAGAUGACGGCUGGUGGCAACAACUGACCUGGUGGAGUACGGACAGUCAAUGGAUCGUGAUGGUGCUCGCUGGCAUGAUGCUCUGUCUGUUGGGAAAAAUGCUAGUUUGAUUCAAAUCAGGAGCAGUGAGCAGUAUUUUAUUUUAGUAUUUCAUAUAAAAUUAUAUCAGUAUUUUCGAUGAAAUACAUAAUUUCAUUAUUAUUCAAUUUCAAUUUAUUUAAUUACUAUUUUUUGUAGUAAAGUAUUUAAUAAUUUAUUGUACAAAAUACUGAAUGUAUAUAAUAAAUUAUAUGUUAUAUUUAUGGCACGGUUACUCAGUGGUUAGCACGGCUGCCUCACAGCAAGAAGGUUCUGGCUGUCCCCGGUCUUUUCUUUGUGGAGUUAGCCUGUUCUCCCCGUGUCUGCAUGGGUUUUUUACCAGGUACACCGGUUUCCCCCACCAUCAAAAAACAUGUACUUUAGGUUAAUACACCUGUUGGUGCUCCUCACCAAGACCAGAGUUAAGUUUCCAAGCAUUGCAGGUGGCUGCUCACUGCUCCAUAGUGAAUCAAUAAAAUACAGAGGAUAAUUUUACUGUUCAAUGUACAUUUGACAAUAAAGAAUAAUUCCUCUA